UGACUACUCCCUUCGUUCGGAAUUACUUGUCGUGAAAAUGGAUGUAUGUAGAUGUAUUUUAGUUCUAGAUACAUCCAUUUCCGAGACAAGUAAUUCCGAACGGAGGGAGUACAUA
rnacentral:pre_miRNA from 1 species